rnacentral:tRNA from 1 species
GGCUCAGUGGUAGAGUGUUGGUCUGGAAAUCCAACGAUGCGGGUUUGAACCCUGA